rnacentral:misc_RNA from 1 species
CCCUUUACUACUUUAUUGAGCAUUAAGAGAAAACAAAGGCCAUAGUACAAUUGCUUUAAUGGGAAUCCAAAGUUUUUGCAAAAGAGCAUAGACCAAAAAUAUAAGAUCAGAAGCUUCACAGAUUUCAACAACAUAAACACAAGAAAUUAUAAUUUACCCCUAAUUAAUUGUUGAUUCCAAAUCCCAAUAGGAUCAAAAACUUAAUUAUAAU